rnacentral:rRNA from 1 species
AAUACCGGUGAAGAUGCCGGUUACCUACAGUUAGACGAAAAGACCCCAGGAGCUUUACUACAGCUUCGUAUUGGCCCUGCGGGAUUCAUGCGUAGCAUAGUGGGGAGACUUUGAAGCAUCGCUUUCGGGUGGUGUGGAGUCGCAAUAUGAAAUACCCAUCUUGAAUCUUGCAGUUCCUAACCCAGCCGGCGAAACCGGUUGGGGACCGUGCGUGGCGGGUAGUUUUGGUGGGGCGCUAUCCUUUGCUCAAUCAAAGAUUUCGCCGCAGACACCGCGGACAGAACGCGGAAGGUCGCGGAAAAUAUUUGGUUGGGCAAAGCCGUGGCGCCCCGCGAGAUCUCGACAAAUCUCGAAACAAAUAAAUCAGGGGGCGGCGCGCAAGAUGCGCGCCGGGCAAUCUGGCCAAAUGCUGGAACAUCCGGAGCGAGCGCGAAAGCGCGAGCGAAGUCCAGCGCCAAUAUCCUUUGGCGCUGCGGCGAAGUAUCCGACGGUACGAAGUUAGGACAUCCGAUGUCCUAACUUCGUGAAAAUCCGUUCGGUGCGGAUAAUCAGCAGGGAACUCGUGGAGAGCCCUUCAGAGACUACAUGCCAGACACCCUGGAAAACGGAGAACAGAAGUCAGAAGCCGGAAAAUCCCCCAAUGCAUACGCAUUUCGGGUUUCCGGUGUCCGGUUUCCGAACUCCGACAUCUAGGGAUGAAGAUAUAGUCCGUCCUGCAUGGCGACAUGCAGGCGCGACGCUCACUCCGAGCGCCGCGCGUAAGCAACGUCCGCGCCAGUCCGCGUCAAGUCCGCGAAACUGUCCGCGAUUGUUGCGAAGUAACAAUGAGCCUAAAAAGUAACGGAGGAGUCUAUUAAGGUCGACUAGGCGCGAAUGGAAACCGUGCCGAUAGUGUAAUGGCAGAAGUCGGCUUAACUGCGAGGGGUACUUCCCAAGCAGAUGCGAAAGCAGAGCAUAGUGAACCGAUGGUCCGCCUUAGAUGCGGCCAGAGAUUAACGGAUAUAAGUUACCCUGGGGAUAACAGGCUAGUUCCGCCCAAGCGUCCAUAGCGACGGCGGAGUUCGGCACCUCGAUGUCGGCUCACCUUAGCGCCGGGCUGGAGCAGGUCCGAAGCGUUUGGCUGUUCGCCAAUUAAAAAGGUACGCGAGCUGGGUUCAAACCGUGCAGCACUCGAACGUCCGUUCGAAGAUUGCACGGUUUGAACCCCGAGAGAACUGUUACAUGCGUGGAGACGCAUGGUGCGAAAACGACAAAUUCACGGCGGUCAUGCGCAGGAAUGCGUAUGAACUAUUCAACUGAUAUCGGUAAAACCCGCUCAUGCGGCGGGCGAUACCGAGGGAAGGGGUAUGUAGUCGACAGCAGACAGGAGACAGAGGACGGGAAUGCGAAUUCCUGCAGCCUGUUUCCUAUCCCCGCCCCUAGAGACUGAACGUUGAACAUCCGACCCGGUUUAUCCUGAAUGGUGAAUCGAAGGAUGAAGUUACAGUCCGAUCCCCCGAGCAAUCGGGGAAAACGAAAUGCGUGAGACAGGUUGGUCUCCUAUCUACUACAGGCGUUGAUUAUUGAGGAGGGUCGUCCCUAGUAAAUGAUUGCUACUUCACGAAGAGAUUCGUGAUGACAAUGUGGCUUAUAACGGUGAAGUCUACGGCUCACCUGGUCUUAGAGGGCAGUAUCCGAAGGUCCAGUGGAUAUUGAACUCGCUUGAGGACCAGAAUGGGCUAUGAUAAUACCGUGGGAAGUCGAUCGAGUAUUACCGGUGCAGAUCUCGCGUAUAUCGCGGGCUUCUUGGACGGAGACGGAAGUCUCAUGCUCCAGCUGAAGAAGCGCGGCGAUUCCACGAAGGGCGUGCGCUUCAUGGCGACGAUAUGUCUCUAUCAAGACAGUCGUCAUGACGCACCGCUCUUGUGGAUGCGCAGAAAGGUCAAGUGCGGCUACGUUUCCAAGCGAAACGACGGCAUGACAGAAUUGCGGAUAAACGGAUUCUCGCAAGUGCGAGCGGUCCUUGAAACGCUACUGCCAUUCCUUCGAUUCAAAAGGAAACAAGCGGAAUUGCUCGUACAGGCAUGCAACAUGCUUGAACGGCAGACGCUUCGCACCAUGACUUCAAGCGACAUGCGCAAAGUCGUCAAUCUGCUCCUGCUCAUACAGAAUGAGAACUAUAUGAGCAGGAAACGUAAGACGAAAGAAGAACUGUAUCGAAUACUCGGUUUGACCCCGUAACGACUUGCGUUGAAAGACACGCGGACUCGCAGGCAGAGGAAUCGUUUCAAAGAAAACGACAGCUCCUGCGGGUAAGAUGCCACCACCCUCGCCUUCGGGAAGGGUGAAGAUAUAGUCUGAGCUCCUAGAAAUAGGGGAAGAAUCGACGAGAGGACCGGGAUGAACUGACCUCUGGUCUACCAGCUGUUCCGCCAGGAGCACCGCUGGGUAGCUAUGUCGGGUUGCGAUAACCGCUGAAAGCAUAUAAGCGGGAAACGCGCUCCAAGAUUAGGAAUCGUUAUGAGGCCCCUCGGAGAUGACGAGGUUGAUAGGCUCUAGGUGGAAGCGCCGCAAGGCGUGGAGCCGAGGAGUACUAAUACGCCCA